GAUGAACGCUGGCGGCGUGCCUAAUACAUGCCAGUCGAGCGAACAGACGAGGAGCUUGCUCCUCUGACGUUAGCGGCGGACGGGUGAGUAACACGUGGAUAACCUACCUAUAAGACUGGGAUAACUUCGGGAAACCGGAGCUAAUACCGGAUAAUAUAUUGAACCGCAUGGUUCAAUAGUGAAAGACGGUUUUACUGUCACUUAUAGAUGGAUCCGCGCCGCAUUAGCUAGUUGGUAAGGUAACGGCUUACCAAGGCAACGAUGCGUAGCCGACCUGAGAGGGUGAUCGGCCACACUGGAACUGAGACACGGUCCAGACUCCUACGGGAGGCAGCAGUAGGGAAUCUUCCGCAAUGGGCGAAAGCCUGACGGAGCAACGCCGCGUGAGUGAUGAAGGUCUUCGGAUCGUAAAACUCUGUUAUUAGGGAAGAACAAAUGUGUAAGUAACUAUGCACGUCUUGACGGUACCUAAUCAGAAAGCCACGGCUAACUACGUG
rnacentral:rRNA from 1 species